UUUAGAGUUUGAUCCAUGGCUCAGAGUUAACGCUGGCGGCGUGCCUAACACAUGCAAGUCGAGCGGGAUACCGGGUGUAGCAAUACAUCUGGUAUCUAGCGGCAGACGGGUGAGUAACACGUGAGUCAUCUACCCUUAAGUGGAGGAUAACCGGCCGAAAGGUCGGCUAAUACUACAUAGUUCCCUACCGCAAGGUAUGGAUAAAGUCGUAAGACGCUUAAGGAGGAGCUCGCGGCCUAUCAGCUAGUUGGCGGGGUAACGGCCCACCGAGGCUAUGACGGGUAGCCGGCCUGAAAGGGCGAACGGCCACAGGGGCACUGCGACACGGGCCCCACUCCUACGGGAGGCAGCAGUGAGGAAUUUUGGUCAAUGGGCGAAAGCCUGAACCAGCAACGCCGCGUGGGGGAUGAAGUCUUUCGGGAUGUAAACCCCUUUUCACCUUGAAGAACACUGACGGAAAGGGGAAUAAGCAACGCA
rnacentral:rRNA from 1 species